GAGCACGUAGGUGGGUUUGUAAGUCAGAUGUGAAAGCCUUCUGUUCAACGGGAGAAUUGCAUCUGAAACUACAAAUCUUGAGUGUAGGAGGGGAGAAUGGAACUUCUGGUGGAGCGGUGAAAUGCGUAGAUAUCAGAAGGAACGCCGGCGGCGAAAGCGAUUCUCUGGCCUAUUACUGACACUCAGUGUGCGAAAGCUAGGGGAGCAAACGGGAUUAGAUACCCCGGUAGUCCUAGCUGUAAACGAUGGGCACUAAGUAGAGGGGUUUU
rnacentral:rRNA from 1 species